rnacentral:tRNA from 1 species
GGAGAGGUGCUGGAGCGGCCGAACAGGCACGCCUGGAAAGCGUGUAGGGGUCAAAAGCCUCUCGCGGGUUCGAAUCCCGCCCUCUCCG